rnacentral:tRNA from 1 species
UAUAAUUUAAUGUUAAAGCAUAAAAAUUUUUGAAAUUUUUAGUAAUAGAUUAAAUCUAUUAAUUAUAA